rfam:Gorilla gorilla gorilla genomic chromosome, chrX, whole genome shotgun sequence
CCAAAGACUCUUUUCAGAGCCAUGCAUACAAUCAGAGAAAAGCUGU